CAGAGAUCAUGCCCCUCGCGGGUAGACCUCCCACCCUGUGUUAUUUACGAUUGUUGCUUUGGCAGGUCGCCUUCGGGCACUCGGCUCCGGCUGAGGUGCGCCUGCCAGAGGACCCCCAACUCUGUGUUUAGUAUUGUCUGAGUAUUAUUUUAAUAAGUUA
rnacentral:misc_RNA from 2 species